GUGAACGCUGGCGGUAGGCCUAACACAUGCCAGUCGAACGGCAGCACAGUAAGAGCUUGCUCUUACGGGUGGCGAGUGGCGGACGGGUGAGGAAUACAUCGGAAUCUACUUUUUCGUGGGGGAUAACGUAGGGAAACUUGCGCUAAUACCGCAUACGACCUACGGGUGAAAGCAGGGGAUCUUCGGACCUUGCGCGAUUGAAUGAGCCGAUGUCGGAUUAGCUAGUUGGCGGGGUAAAGGCCCACCAAGGCGACGAUCCGUAGCUGGUCUGAGAGGAUGAUCAGCCACACUGGAACUGAGACACGGUCCAGACUCCUACGGGAGGCAGCAGUGGGGAAUAUUGGACAAUGGGCGCAAGCCUGAUCCAGCCAUACCGCGUGGGUGAAGAAGGCCUUCGGGUUGUAAAGCCCUUUUGUUGGGAAAGAAAAGCAGCAGGUUAAUACCCCGCUGUUCUGACGGUACCCAAAGAAUAAGCACCGGCUAACUUCGUG
rnacentral:rRNA from 1 species